UUACGGUCACAUCACUUUCAAACACAGCUUCCCGUAAGAUCACUGAUGUUAAGCAACGUCGAAUCUGGUCAUUUCCUAGAUGGGUGACCGCUUGGGAAUACCAUGUGCUGUAA